AUUGAACGCUGGCGGCAGGCCUAACACAUGCAAGUCGAACGAGUGGCGGACGUGUGAGUAAUGUCUCGGCAACUUCCUGUUGGAGGGGGUUCACUACUGGAAACGGUUGCCUAUUCCGCCUUCCAUCCCCUUUGUCCAUGUGGGAUUUGCUUGUGGGUGGGGUAACGGCUCACCAAGGUGACGAACCCUACCUGGUCUGAGAGGAUGACCAGCCAAACUGGAACUGAGACACGGUCCAGACUCCUACGGGAGGCAGCAGUGGGGAAUAUUGCACAAUGGGCGAAAGCCUGAUGCAGCCAUGCCGCGUGGAUGAAGAAGGCCUUCGGGUUGUAAAGUACUUUAAGCGGGGAGGCGUUACCCGCAGAAGAAGCACCGGCUAACUCCGUGCCAGCAGCCGCGGUAAUUC
rnacentral:rRNA from 1 species